AGGAGGAGGGCAUCAAGCAUGAGUUCUCUUCUCCCUACACGCCACAACAAAAUGGUGUAGUGGAGAGGAAGAAUCGAACUCUAUUGGACAUGGCAAGAACCAUGCUUGAUGAGUACAAGACUUCGGAUCGGUUUUGGGCCGAGGCGGUCAACACCGCCUGCUACGCCAUCAACCGGUUAUAUCUACACCGAAUCCUCAAGAAGACAUCCUAUGAACUCCUGUCACACCCGGGUUUCGGGGCACCAAGACCUCGGUGCGAACAUAAUCACAAGGUGUGCUGGGACCAAGUCUCACACAUAUGAUGAUUCAUGGCACAAGAUCGAAUGUCACAUCUUUACUACAUAACAGGAGUUCUAUACAAAAUAAAUAGAUAAUUACAUUAUAAGGAGACAACGGUCCAGCAACCCAAAGUUGACUGGGAGACGACGGCCUAGAUCUCUCACGAACUCAUCGCAGCAUUCUCCAUGCGCCUCAUCCUGCGGUACCUGUUCUUGACCUGUGGGGGGGGGUGUGAGACAGCAAGAGUGAGCUCACAUACGUUCAUCGCUCAACAAGUUGUGGGGAAUAAUGUGCAUGAACUCGCUAAAGGUGGGAGAUCACGUGAAGUGUAAGGCUUACCAAAGAGGAUGGUUAGAGCUGAGCAUUGCUUUUAAAGUUGGUCAAAAUUUUAUUAGCAGUUACUAAGUAUAAGUAAAUACCAACCCAAUUAAGUAGUAGAACAAAAGUAACAACAUCACCUGCGAUGCAAUGCAUAUGACAAAUUGAUUUUAGUUCCAUAAAUUAAUCAUCAGAGAGUCCUGAGCUGCUCAUGACCGUGAGCUCGACUAGUAUACCAGUUUUACACUCUGCAGAGGUGGUACCCUUUACCCACAAGUCAUGUUACCCAUCUGCCAAGGGAUCGCGACUUCCCAUACACCUCUACCGAGGAGGCGAGGCAGGGUAACACUACGAGGCCUUUACAAAGUUCCACUAGCUUCAGAAAACCCGCUACAGUUUAUAGGAAGCUCCAAUGCAGGGUUCUUGCCUGACCGCCAUCGCAGCAAAAUCAACCAAGGACCUCCCUACACUGACCACUCCCCUACUGCCCUUGCCCCUUUCGGGUAAGGUAGUCCUCCACUAGCUUUCCUAAUUAAUCAGCCAAGGGCGUCCAUAAACCCUUGUGGUGGCAUGUGUUUCUCAAGUUAAGCUCUAUGUUCCAAUUAACAUUAAUGAUCUUGACAUGAACAUAAAUAGAAUAACAAAAUAACUGGAACAUAGAUAUGAUAAAUGAUUAUCCCAAAACCAUGUAAAGCAAUAGCAAACUACCCAAGUGAUUCAGGGGUAAGCAAGGUAAUGAGAUAAACAAUCUAGGGUGACCUAUUGGGUCCCAUCAAAAUUAACCUAUGCAUGGAUAAAUGAUAUUAAAGAACAUUAUUGGGUAAAAAGUGAUCAAGGGCACAACUUGCCUGGGACUUGAGAUUCCAUGUACCAACUUGCUCUUCAGAUGACACGUGUCCUCACCGCUAAACGUAGCAAUACAAACAAACAUGGCAUGGGCAAAAUUAACAUCACACCGAACAUAAGAACAAACUGUGUAAUAAUAAUCUACACGUUGCUACGAGACUAACGCAACUUGAACGGAUCAAAUCGGAGUUAAAUCGGAGUUAAAACGAAGGAGUUAUGAAUUUAUUAAGUUUUAAGUGUUGGAUAACAGAUUAAUUAGGAUAUUAAUUUUAAUGUGAUAUUCAUGUCAAAACAGAUGCACUAUGUCAUAAACAAAAUUAUUAUCAAAUUAUAGGAAUUGGAAUGGAUUAAUUCGAACAUCAUAUGAAUUUUCUAUGAAUUAAACCAAUUCUAACAUUUAUUUCUACAUUAAAAUCCAAUUCUAUAUUUGUUUUUCUAAUUUUUCUGACUCUCUGGACUGGGCGCACUAAUAUAGAGAAGCUCAGGGUUCCUAGGGUAAGAUUGCCUAAGACACAGAUCUAUCCCGCGGGGGAUCGUGGGUUCAAUUCUAUGAAAGAAGAGGGCUCGUUUAUAAAAUUGCAAGGCCGAAGAGGUAAGGCAGGCUCUCGGCCGUUGGAUCAGGGUUGGACGCGCGGGAUUAAAUCAAGCAUUACAUGGACUGGUAUGCCCUAUUGGCCCAUGGAUCUGGAAUCCACGAUCGAGAAUGUACCAGGACGAUGACUUACUCCAGCCAUCGGAUUGCUAUUCAACGGACCAGAUCAACCACGUGAAGUGCUGCUCUCCAGAAUCAAUCGCAUCCUCCAAAUAUGGAUCGAACGGUUCGCUGUCCUUCAUCAACCCCGGAACCCGACUAACGGCGGCACAGCACCUCGCGCGACGGCGAGUUCACUGGAGUUGGCGAAUGCGCCCAUUCCGACCGCAUUACUCCAAUUCACCCGGCUCUCGCGAACCCGACGACACCCCGAGCCUAUUCCCCGAUCAAUUAGUGUCGAUCUCCCAAUGCAGACCUCGGGCCACGACGCGCUGGAACAAGUCAUGGCGGAGGCCAUGGCCGACGGACUCGCAUAGAGGCUCGAAUACACGAGACACCCAUCCUAUUGGAGUUAAAUGAAAUUCAAAGGAUGGCAAACCUGCUGAGCAAGCAUUCACCGGUAGAUGCACGGCGAAUCAACCUGACCACAGCACGGUGCCACGGCGCCGAUGAAGCCCCGAUGACAAAUCCCUAGCCCACAAGUGGGCCAUUACCUUCCCCGUGAAGCUCUACGCGACAGAAUACGGUUAACGAAGGCGAGUGAAGGAUCCUUACCCACAGCAGCGUCGUGAUGGAGUCUGUCCCCUUCGUGGCGUGGAGCCGCGGUAAUGCCGUAUUCGGGUGAACGAUUCCUUGCUCACCGAGCACCCCGCGCGCAGCCACGCAUCCACACGAGUGCAAGCGACCCAGCGGCCGCACCGUUUCACCAACCAAGGCUCCACGACAGCACGAGCGCGACCUCGCCGGCAAUUCUCCCUCGAUUUAUCCUCACGGCGUCCGCAGGAAGGGCGAUUAGAAAUUCUGGGUACGAUGGGAGAGGCGGCGUCCGACCAUAGAUAUAUUUCAGGGAUCCGGUCAAGUGGAUGCAGCUGGAAAUCCGCGGAGUUUGUUAAGAAUUUGGCAGGGUUGUUGCGAUCCGGCGAGAGGAUGGCCGCCAGAUCCGCUACAGCGACGGCAAGGAGAGAGCCCUGGUCAGGUGGCCCCAGCGACAGAGACAGCGGCAGGUCCGGAACGUACGUGCGUG
rnacentral:lncRNA from 1 species